rnacentral:rRNA from 1 species
UCCCCUAGUAGCGGCGAGCGAAGCGGGAAAAGCUCAAAUUUGUAAUCUGGCGUCUUCGACGUCCGAGUUGUAAUCUCGAGAAGUGUUUUCCGUGAUAGACCGCAUACAAGUCUCUUGGAACAGAGCGUCAUAGUGGUGAGAACCCAGUACACGAUGCGGAUGCCUAUUACUUUGUGAUACACUUUCGAAGAGUCGAGUUGUUUGGGAAUGCAGCUCAAAUUGGGUGGUAAAUUCCAUCUAAAGCUAAAUAUUGGCGAGAGACCGAUAGCGAACAAGUACCGUGAGGGAAAGAUGAAAAGCACUUUGGAAAGAGAGUUAACAGUACGUGAAAUUGUUGGAAGGGAAACACAUGCAGUGAUACUUGCUAUUCGGGGCAACUCGAUUGGCAGGCCCGCAUCAGUUUUUCGGGGCGGAAAAGCAUAGAGAGAAGGUAGCAGUUUCGGCUGUGUUAUAGCUCUUUAUUUGAUUCGCCCUGGGGGACUGAGGAACGCAGCGUGCU